UACGUAGGGGGCAAGCGUUGUCCGGAAUUAUUGGGCGUAAAGAGCGUGUAGGCGGUCCGGUAAGUCAGCUGUGAAAGUCAAGGGCUCAACCCUUGAAAGCCGGUUGAUACUGUCGGGCUAGAGUCCGGAAGAGGCGAGUGGAAUUCCCGGUGUAGCGGUGAAAUGCGCAGAUAUCGGGAGGAACACCAAUGGCGAAGGCAGCUCGCUGGGACGGUACUGACGCUGAGACGCGAAAGCUAGGGGAGCAAACAGG
rnacentral:rRNA from 1 species